CCUACGGGUGGCAGCAGUGAGGAAUAUUGGACAAUGGGCGGGAGCCUGAACCAGCAAAGCCGCGUGAAGGAAGAAGUCGCCAGGCGUGGUAAGCUUCUUUUGUCGGGGAACAAAGGGCGCCACGCGUGGCGUUGUGAGUGUACCCGAAGAAAAAGCAUCGGCAAACUCCGUGCCAGCAGCCGCGGUAAUACGGAGGAUGCGAGCGUUAUCCGGGUUUAUGGGGUUUAAGGGGUGCGUAGUCGGACCGGAAAGUCAGCGGUAAAAGCCCGGGGCUAAACCCCGGCGAGCCGUUGAAACUGUGGGACUAGAGACGGCGAGAGGUACGCGGAAUGCGCGGUGUAGCGGUGAAAUGCAUAGAUA
rnacentral:rRNA from 1 species